rnacentral:snRNA from 1 species
GUGUUCACUUCAGUAGCACAUAUGCUGAANUUUGAACAACACAGAGAAGAUUAGCAUGGCCCCUUUGUAAGGAUAACCAACAAAUUCAUGAAGCAUUCUCUAUUUCU